rnacentral:rRNA from 1 species
UACGGAGGGUGCGAGCGUUGUCCGGAAUCAUUGGGCGUAAAGGGCGCGUAGGUGGCUCGGUCAGUUCGUGGUGAAAGCGCGGGGCUCAACCCUGCGUCGGCCAUGAAUACUGCCGCGGCUGGAGCACUGUAGAGGCAGGCGGAAUUCCGGGUGUAGCGGUGGAAUGCGUAGAGAUCCGGAAGAACACCGGUGGCGAAGGCGGCCUGCUGGGCAGUUGCUGACACUGAGGCGCGACAGCGUGGGGAGCAAACAGG